CCCAGUCACCACCAGCUCAGUAUUCUCCCAUGCACAAUAUGGGAUUGUUGCCAAUGCACCCUCUCCAGAUCCCUGCCCCGUCCUGGCCCAUCCAUGGCCCAGUGAUCCACUCUGCACCAGGCAGUGCCCCCAGCAAUAUUGGCCUAAAUGAUCCCAGCAUCAUCUUUGCACAGCCUGCUGCCAGACCUGUGGCAAUCCCUAACACGUCUCACGAUGGACACUGGCCCCGUACUGUGGCUCCAAAUUCCCUGGUAAACAGUGGUGCAGUGGGGAAUUCAGCCAGGCUUUCGAGGACUGACUCCUCCAAUUCCUUGGGAACAUGCACCGCGUCCCCAUUUCCCCCUUGUCCCAGCUUCGUGGCCUUAUGGUUUGCAUCAAAACUUCAUGCAUCAGGGAAAUGCCCGAUUCCAGCCCAACAAACCUUUCUAUACUCAAGACAGAUGUGCCACCCGUCGGUGUAGAGAGCGUUGUCCCCACCCACCAAGAGGAAACGUGUCGGAGUAAUGCGAGUCCAUUUUCUUUCAGCUGGUCUACCGAUGCACAGCAACCAGCCAAUCCUGCUGUCUCAAGGGUAUCCGUACCUCAAUGUCAGUUACAUUCAGCAGAAAAAGUGACAUUUAAUGGAAAGCAAAACAAAUCAGGUCCUGAUUUAAAAUUUUAACACGUUUAGAUAGCUUAUUUAAAUUCUAAGACUGUUUUUACAGACUGUAUUAUUUGUAUAUAAAUAUGAACUAUAGUUUUUACUAGUAUCACCAAAUUGAGUGAUACAAAUUUCAUCUAUUUUAUUACCCUAUUUUUAAGGGAAUUUUAUGUUUUGUUUAACCUUGAUGAAUUGUAUAAAGAGAGAAUUUAAAAAAUUACAUUCUUUAUUUUCUAUUAGCUGUAUUCAUACUUUGGUUGCUUCAGACUUUAUAUAUUGUUCUUAAAAGUUAGGAAAGAAUUUCAUGUGUUUUAAAUUGUCACUUCUAUUCUUUACAGAACCUUGUAGUGCCAAAAACUUUUUAAAAGGUAAAAAAAUAAAAUAAAAUUACA
rnacentral:lncRNA from 1 species